CUGAAGACGAGAAAGCGGCGACCGUUUGACACAAUGAGAUCUCCAGUGGAUCAGCUGGUUAUCUAAUCAUCCGAUCAUAUGGCAGCACGAUACAGCGUCAUGCAGAUGCAGGUCAAGAGCUUCAGUUAAUGUGUAACAACAAACAUCAGAAUGAGAGGAAAUGUAAUCUCUGUGGCUUGGUUGUUGUGACCACUGAGCUUGUUGGAGGUUGAAAGAAACUGCGGAUCUCAUGCAGGGGAAUUUCAUGCACAACCUGGAAUAGACGGUGUUCAGACUGAAGCGGCCAUCAUCUCCAACGCUUCCAUCGCACGGCCCAUUAAUCUGAUCAACAGCAUGGGCGGUGAGCACUCACGCCUUUGCCAACACCCACCAUCAUCACCGCUGGGAACCGGAGCGUUAUUGGAAAGAAUUUCAAUAAAGUCUUCUUCCUGUGGCAGACUGGAAAUGUCACCACAGUGGUGGUCCAAAAUCCUGCUCUUCUGUUUCAUCACUUCAUCAAAGCUAAUAGAUGGAUUUCUAAAAAAAAAAAAAAAAGAAAAGAAAAAGAAAUUCUUAAUAAGAAAGUUUUAUUACAUUGGAACUGUAUGAGGAAUAAGUUUACAAGAAAAUCCCAGAUACAUUUCCCUUUACACACUGGUCUUGCAGUGGAAAAAGUUUUUAACUUUACUGUUCUCUGUAGUGGGGGGGCACGGUGGCUUAGUGGUUAGCACGUUCGCCUCACACCUCCAGGGUUGGGGGUUCGAUUCCCACCUCCGCCUUGUGUGUGU